AGCUUUCUAGCUCAGGGGAAGAGCGCCGGGCUCAUAACCCGGAGGUCACUGGAUCGAAACCAGUGAAAGCUA